GCUCAAAUUUGAAAUCUGGCCCCCAGGGCCCGAGUUGUAAUUUGCAGAGGAUGCUUUUGGCGCGGUGCCUUCCGAGUUCCCUGGAACGGGACGCCAUAGAGGGUGAGAGCCCCGUCUGGUCGGACGCCUAGCCUGUGUAAAGCUCCUUCGACGAGUCGAGUAGUUUGGGAAUGCUGCUCUAAAUGGGAGGUAUAUGUCUUCUAAAGCUAAAUACCGGCCAGAGACCGAUAGCGCACAAGUAGAGUGAUCGAAAGAUGAAAAGCACUUUGAAAAGAGGGUUAAAUAGUACGUGAAAUUGUUGAAAGGGAAGCGCUUGUGACCAGACUUGGGCCCGGUGGAUCAUCCAGCGUUCUCGCUGGUGCACUCCGCCGGGUUCAGGCCAGCAUCAGUUCGCCGCGGGGGAAAAAGGCUUCGGGAACGUGGCUCCUACGGGAGUGUUAUAGCCCGUUGCAUAAUACCCUGGGGCGGACUGAGGUUCGCGCUCCGCAAGGAUGCUGGCGUAAUGGUCAUCAGCGACCCGUCUUGAAACACGGACCAAGGAGUCGUCUUCGUAUGCGAGUGUUCGGGUGUAAAACCCCUACGCGUAAUGAAAGUGAACGCAGGUGAGAGCUUCGGCGCAUCAUCGACCGAUCCUGAUGUUCUCGGAUGGAUUUGAGUAAGAGCAUACGGGGCCGGACCCGAAAGAAGGUGAACUAUGCCUGUAUAGGGUGAAGCCAGAGGAAACUCUGGUGGAGGCUCGCAGCGGUUCUGACGUGCAAAUCGAUCGUCAAAUAUGGGCAUGGGGGCGAAAGACUAAUCGAACCUUCUAGUAGCUGGUUUCCGCCGAAGUUUCCCUCAGGAUAGCAGUGUUGAACUCAGUUUUAUGAGGUAAAGCGAAUGAUUAGGGACCCGGGGGCGCUUUUUAGCCUUCAUCCAUUCUCAAACUUUAAAUAUGUAAGAAGC
rnacentral:rRNA from 1 species